UACAGAGGGUGCGAGCGUUAAUCGGAAUUACUGGGCGUAAAGGGCGCGUAGGCGGUUAAAUAAGUUGGAUGUGAAAUCCCUGGGCUUAACCUAGGAACUGCAUACAAGACUGUUUGACUGGAGUGCGGUAGAGGGUAGUGGAAUUUCCGGUGUAGCGGUGAAAUGCGUAGAUAUCGGAAGGAACACCGGUGGCGAAGGCGGCUACCUGGACUGACACUGACGCUGAGGCGCGAGAGCGUGGGUAGCAAACAGG
rnacentral:rRNA from 1 species